rnacentral:rRNA from 1 species
GACGAACGCUGGCGGCAUGCUUAACACAUGCAAGUCGAACGGAAAGGCCCUGCUUUUGUGGGCAGCUCUAGUGGAGAACGGGGGAGUAACCCGUGAGUAACCUGCCCUUGACUUUGGGGUAACUUCAUGAAACUUGGUCUCAUACCGGCUAGGAGCUCUUGCUGCAUGGUGGGGGUUGGAAAGUUUCGGCGGUUGGGGAUGGACUCGCGGCUUAUGAGCUUGUUGGUGGGGUAGUGGCUUACCAAGGCUUUGACGGGUAGCCGUGCUGAGAGGGUGACCGGCCACAUUAGGACUGAGAUACGGCCCAGACUCGUACGGGAGGCAGCAGUGGGGAAUAUUGCACAAUGGGCGGAAGCCUGAUGCAGCCACGCCGCGUGCGGGAUGACGGCAUUCGGGUUGUAAACCGCUGUCGCCUGUGACGAAGCGUGAGUGACGGUAAUGGGUAAAGAAGCACCGGCUAACUACGUG